GCCCCGCUGGCUCAAUGGUAGAGCAUUAGACUUCUACGCAUUCGCUUUCAGGAAGAUGAUGAUUUCGUCCCAUGAAAGACGCUGCUGAGGGAUCUAAAGGUUGCGGGUUCGACCCCCGCGUGGGGUU
rnacentral:tRNA from 1 species